GUAUGUCACCAUAUAGGGAAAUCCCCAUUGAGGUCACUAUGACCUGGGGACUUGGGGCCAUCACCUUGGUCACUUUCUAAUACCUGCCACAGGCCUAAACACUCACCCUUGCCAUGUGAUGUUUCGAUGAUCCAGUCUACAAAUAAUUGAAGAGACAUUGAUCCCUUAAAUUGAGGGGAUGAAUGCAGAAGAUGAUGACAGAGUGAGUGUGAGCAUGAGAUGUUAUUUUACUUCAAGUUCAUGGUCAAAUACUGUCCCCAGAGUACCCCUCAUGGGGCCACUCAGCUACACACAGAGAAAGCUGUGAGAGUUGUCAGGCCUGAGCCAGAGGCAUCAGCCCAGCCCGCUUCCUCUCAGCUACAACAGGAAAUGAGUGUCCAGGACUCUGCUCUGCUAGGGGACUACAUGUGCUCUGUCUUCUGCAAUUACCCAGUCUUGAGCACAGCACUUGGCACACAGCCGUCCCUCUACGACUACUGACUGGAUGAAUAAAUGAAUGAGCAAAAGGACAGAUGAAUGCAGCCCAUGUCAGAAGCUUUGAAGUUUUUCACAAACAUCUUUGAUGUCAUAUUCUCUUCAGUGAUAUAACGCAAGAACGCAGUGACAAGAUGGCCAAGGCCCCAGUGGAAAAGACCGAGACUCCCAGAGAAACGGCAACUUACCAGGAUUGCAGCCCAGACCUCUCUAAUUUGGAAGCCUCUCCAUCUCACCAGAAAACAGGUAGGAGGACAGAGAAGCCCAAAACCAGGCCUGUGCAUGUUCCAAUAGGAUGACUAGGAAAGACAGAACUGGGCUCUACUUCUUCCUGCUACUGGAUGAUGGGCACAGAAAGCCCUGGAGGUGAUGCGUCCUGAAAAGGUGGUUUCCAACAAGUCUGGUAACCCAGAGAAGAGGUUUGCUGUUCCCAGUCUCCCAGCUUCUGCCCUGCCUCCCUGCCCACUGUGACCACAAGAUAGAAAUGAAAAUAACCUCUGUUGAGAUUCAGUUUGUUUCUAGAACUGCAACUGAAGGGGACAACUUGCAGACUGUAGCCCUAAGAGGAGCUGGGAGAAAAUGCUCUAACAGCUGGCUGCAAUAAGUCUCUGGGCCACCUCCAAGCCUUUGUGCUUUGACUCUGGGAAUUGGAUCUGGACAAAGCAACCUGUAGGCAGCAGAACACCAGAAGUCAACAGGAAGCAGUGUUUUGGGAUUUGGAGGAGCACAUCAGAGGGACUCAGG
rnacentral:lncRNA from 1 species